AUUGAACGCUGGCGGCAUGCUUUACACAUGCAAGUCGAACGGUAACAGGCCGCAAGGUGCUGACGAGAGGCGAACGGGUGAGUAAUGCAUCGGAACGUGCCCAGUCGUGGGGGAUAACGCAGCGAAAGCUGCGCUAAUACCGCAUACGAUCUAUGGAUGAAAGCGGGGGACCGUAAGGCCUCGCGCGAUUGGAGCGGCCGAUGUCAGAUUAGGUAGUUGGUGGGGUAAAGGCUCACCAAGCCAACGAUCUGUAGCUGGUCUGAGAGGACGACCAGCCACAGUGGGACUGAGACACGGCCCAGACUCCUACGGGAGGCAGCAGUGGGGAAUUUUGGACAAUGGGCGCAAGCCUGAUCCAGCAAUGCCGCGUGCAGGAAGAAGGCCUUCGGGUUGUAAACUGCUUUUGUACGGAACGAAACGGUCCUGGUUAAUACCUGGGGCUAAUGACGGUACCGUAAGAAUAAGCACCGGCUAACUACGUGCCAGCCGCCGCCGUAACAC
rnacentral:rRNA from 1 species